AAAAUGAUAUUGACAAGCUUCGUGAGAAACGUCAAGACGCACCGACCCCACCGCCUGAGGCUGAUCCGAAGCCACCAGAAAAAACGGAGACAGAGUAUGAAACCUAUCAUACCCCACUUUACGCCAUCACGGCAUUCUUCACUCUUUUGCUGAUACUUGGACCAUUGAUGGUGAAACAAGGACCAAACCGAGGGAUAGUGCAAGCUUGCGUCAUGCUAACCGCAUUCUGCAUGUGGAUCUUCUGGUUCACAAUCUAUUUUGGUCAAAUGAAUCCCCUAAUGGGACCUCGUCUCGAAAACACUACAGUCGCUUGGAUCGCAUACAAAUUAG